ACCCUGACUGUAAUGAGCUGCCUCCAGGGUUCUUAAAGUUAUGCAGAGCUGCCAUGGAGGCAACUGGCCACUCAUGCUGGGCUCUGAUUGCUGUAUUUCUUAAGCAUGACUGAGUCUGGAAAAUAAUUCAUUGCAUCAGUAAAGCUGCGAGUCAGACCCUGUGAGGCAGUGGUAGAUGGUACAUCUGGAGCUGACUGUCCCUCCCGUGGACCAAAUCUAAGUUGUGUGGGUCCUGCUAAAGAGAAAUCUAUCUCCAGCUGUCAUGGAAAAGGGGAAAUCAGAGAUUCAAAGCAGGAGAAGAUUUGAUUUGUGGUUGUUGGCUUGAAGAUGAAGGGGUCCACCUGUCAAGGAAACAGGACUUCAGUCAUAUAGCUGCAGUGAACCGAGUUCCAGUAACAACCUGGAUGAACUUAGAAGUGGGUUAUUUCCCAGAGUAUCCAGGGAAGAGCUCAGCACUGUCAACACCUGUAUUUUAGCUUUAAGAGGCUCUAAGCAGAGGACACAGCUGAGCCACACUGUGCCUGGAUUUCUGAUGCAUCGACACUGUGAGGCAAACCUAAUCCUGACUAAUGCAAAUACCAAGAAUCCAAAGUUGAAAUGUUGACCCUGGAGACAGUGUUGGAGCAGCAAAGAAUGUUCUCACAUAAGGGGCUGAGCUAAGUGAAGAGUCCCUGGACUUCUGUAGACAUCACCCUGGCAGUCAGAGGGCCCCUUCCGGUUGGGAAAUUCACCACCACAGGGAUGGAACACAGGGGUGUUUGGUAUUUAAGUGUAUUUUAUUGAUAAUGAAAAGUUUUGUUUCCCUUAUUGUAAAAUCU
ensembl:lncRNA